AACGAACGCUGGCGGCAGGCCUAACACAUGCAAGUCGAACGGGAUCUUCGGAUCUAGUGGCGGACGGGUGAGUAACGCGUGGGAACGUGCCCUUUGGUUCGGAAUAGCCCUGGGAAACUGGGAGUAAUACCGGAUGUGGUCGAGAGACGAAAGAUUUAUCGCCAAAGGAUCGGCCCGCGUUGGAUUAGGUAGUUGGUGGGGUAAUGGCCUACCAAGCCGACGAUCCAUAGCUGGUUUGAGAGGAUGAUCAGCCACACUGGGACUGAGACACGGCCCAGACUCCUACGGGAGGCAGCAGUGGGGAAUCUUAGACAAUGGGGGAAACCCUGAUCCAGCCAUGCCGCGUGAGUGAUGAAGGCCCUAGGGUUGUAAAGCUCUUCCACCGGUGAAGAUAAUGACGGUAACCGGAGAAGAAGCCCCGGCUAACUUCGUGCCAGCAGCCGCGGUAAUAC
rnacentral:rRNA from 1 species